rnacentral:rRNA from 1 species
AUUGAACGCUGGCGGCAGGCUUAACACAUGCAAGUCGCGCGGGGUGAUGGUGCUUGCACUAUCACUUAGCGGCGGACGGGUGAGUAAUGCUUAGGAAUCUGACUAUUAGUGGGGGACAACAUCUCGAAAGGGAUGCUAAUACCGCAUACGUCCUACGGGAGAAAGCAGGGGAUCACUUGUGACCUUGCGCUAAUAGAUGAGCCUAAGUCGGAUUAGCUCGUUGGUGGGGUAAAGGCCUACCAAGGCGACGAUCUGUAGCGGGUCUGAGAGGAUGAUCCGGCACACUGGGACUGAGACACGGCCCAGACUCCUACGGGAGGCAGCAGUGGGGAAUAUUGGACAAUGGGGGGAACCCUGAUCCAGCCAUGCCGCGUGUGUGAAGAAGGCCUUAUGGUUGUAAAGCACUUUAAGCGAGGAGGAGGCUCUUUUGGUUAAUACCCAAGAUGAGUGGACGUUACUCGCAGAAUAAGCACCGGCUAACUCUGUGCCAGCCGCCGCGGUAA